GGCUCCAUGGUCUAACGGUAUGGUAUGACUCGGCCCUUUCAAGGCCGAAACGCGCGGUUCGAUCCCGGCUGGAGUCA
rnacentral:tRNA from 1 species